rnacentral:rRNA from 1 species
GAUGAACGCUGGCGGCGUGCUUAACACAUGCAAGUCGAACGAAGCACUUUGGACAGAUUCUUCGGAUGAAGUUUUUGGUGACUGAGUGGCGGACGGGUGAGUAACGCGUGGGUAACCUGCCUCAUACAGGGGGAUAACAGUUAGAAAUGGCUGCUAAUACCGCAUAAGCGCACGGUACUGCAUGGUACAGUGUGAAAAACUCCGGUGGUAUGAGAUGGACCCGCGUUGGAUUAGCUAGUUGGCAGGGUAACGGCCUACCAAGGCGACGAUCCAUAGCCGGCCUGAGAGGGUGGACGGCCACAUUGGGACUGAGACACGGCCCAGACUCCUACGGGAGGCAGCAGUGGGGAAUAUUGCACAAUGGGGGAAACCCUGAUGCAGCGACGCCGCGUGAGCGAAGAAGUAUUUCGGUAUGUAAAGCUCUAUCAGCAGGGAAGAAAAUGACGGUAC